GGUGAUCCGCCCGGCAGUCGAGGCUGGGCACGCUCAGAGGGAGUGCAGUCCCUCCCCUUUCCUCCUCUUCCACCCCCUUGCUACAGCGCUAGCUGCAGAGCUGGACCUCUACAAAACUGUGAAGCGGAAGAAAUUUGGGUCCGCCUAUCUGCUUUUACUGCACUGCGUCCCCCCUCAUCUCCUUUCUGAUCUCUCUUUCUGUUUUUUGUCUCUCUUUGUUUCCCCCCUCAACACAAACGCGGGAGCACACGUACACGCUGUGCGAAAGAUGCCAGCCAUAAUCUCUUAAGACUGAAAGGUUAUCCAACCUCAUCCUCCCACUGCUGCUUGAACAAUGUGCUUAACGCGCAGUGCCGCAAUCAUUGCUUAGGUGUUUGCCUGCCUUUUCUCCAGGAGCCCCGCAGUUCCCUCAGGGCUCUACCCCAGGCAAAUCGGCUGACCUUGAAAACUCCAGGCUUUAAGCCCUGCUGGUUGCAAGAACUCAUGAAAUUCAGCUGAUUUCCAACAUGUGCCUGUUACUGAACUGGGCCCUUGGGCUCUCCAAGCAACAGAAAUUGACAAGAGGCCUAACGGGAGUUCCAGGCAAAACGACUGGGGCUUAUGCUUGAGCACAAGGGAGACAGCACAAAGGAAAGCAUUCUCGGGCUGUCUGUCUGAGGAGAGGUAGGGAGAGUUUUAAACAGGCUUAGGUGGGGAAAAGGGUGACGUUUAAGCAUGUAGAGGCAGGUGUCAUCACACACUGAAAUAAAGUUCUCAGACGCCAAUCUGAGCAGCUGUGCAGGGCUGCCUCUGGAAAGCAGCAGCAGCUGAAUCCUGCACAUAGCUUUUGUUUUGUUUUUUAUCAGAAAAGCAAGGACAGAUGCCUCCAAGCAUGGGAAAGGAGUACAAAGGGAUGGCAAAUGUCUUGAAACAGCUUGCAUUUUCCUCUAUGCAUAGGUACCUAGAGAGUCAGUCAUGGGAUGAGGGAAGAGUGGGAUGUUUGGGCUGGCAAUCACCAGGUAAAGAGGGGAGACUGAGGGUUACAUUUUUUCAUAGCUCCUAAGUGAUGCCCUGCCCCUGGGGAUUGUGGAAUCCUGCUCCUACCAGGCCACUGAGUUCAACAGCCCAAGAACAGGAACACUGCUAAUGUUUUGGCUGCUUCCACACUCACUCCUUGGGGCUUAUAAUGUAUUUUCUAAGAAUAACUCUACAGGCAGGGACUUACCAGAUCUUGCACACUUAAAGAUCAUGUUUUAUUAUACAUUGAAUGUCUAAUUAGCAUGUUAAAUCUCUACCCCUGGGCAUGAUUUUUAGCACUAUAAUCAGGGAAAAAGUCGAUGAAAGGUCAGUGCUGGGGUCCACUGUUGCUCGGGCUGGUCUGGUCUAGUUUUUGCAGGAGCAGAACUGGUUGUAAGCUGGGCCAUGGGGCUUGUUUGGAGCUUGUGGCUUCUGGCUUCCUGAUGUCGAGCAACACCUGCAAGCUGGGCUAGAGAACUGGGUUGUUGUGAUUUUUUUUCCUGUGAAUUUCUGGGUUAGGGAUCUUGAACACCAUCCCUGCUUUGUCUCAUGCCCUUAAAGCUAAUGUAAAUCUCUUGGAGGCAGCAUCUUAUUAGAACUUUUUAAAAGGCAUUUAGGGGUGCCUGGGUGGCUCAGUCGUUGGGCGUCUGCCUUCGGCUC